rnacentral:rRNA from 1 species
AGCGAACGCUGGCGGCAGGCCUAACACAUGCAAGUCGAACGAUCCUUCGGGAUAGUGGCGGACGGGUGAGUAACACGUGGGAACGUACCUUUAGGUUCGGGAUAACUCAGGGAAACUUGAGCUAAUACCGGAUGUGCCCUUCGGGGGAAAGAUUUAUCGCCUUUAGAGCGGCCCGCGUUAGAUUAGCUAGUUGGUGAGGUAAAGGCUCACCAAGGCUCCGAUCUAUAGCUGGUCUGAGAGGAUGAUCAGCCACACUGGGACUGAGACACGGCCCAGACUCCUACGGGAGGCAGCAGUGGGGAAUCUUGCGCAAUGGGCGAAAGCCUGACGCAGCCAUGCCGCGUGAAUGAUGAAGGUCUUAGGAUUGUAAAAUUCUUUUAGCAGGGACGAUAAUGACGGUACCUGCAGAAAAAGCCCCGGCUAACUUCGUGCCAGCAGCCGCCGUAA